GUGUGUUCAAGAAGAAAAAAAAAGUCCAUUUUAAGAAUGCAUUCAAGGUGUUUGUUUAUAUGCCUUAGUGAAACCAAAACAAUGUUCUAGAAUUCCUAUGCACUUCAAAAUAUUGGGCUAAUGAAUUUACAAAAAAUAAAGUACAAGUUGGUAAAGCACAGUUUUUAGACUUUUAGUAUAAGCUUGCAAUUUGAGGACUACAAAAAACUAGCACUUCUUCAAGAGAAGCUUUGGAUUCAUCUCCAAACAAAGACUCUUUUCCAUCUGGCCUUUUAGCAUAAGACAAUCCCAAUCUUGACCUUGCUUGAGUCAAAACUCCGACACCCGAGUUCGUCUCGGGCCCUGCAAACCCACCCAUGACGGGUGCGAGUGGUGGCCCGAUCAGGAGCCCAUCAGCCCCAAAUUGUGGCCCGCCACGAGCAUAAUCAAAAAGGGCUGCACCACUCCCUCCUACUUUAGGCAACACAAUGGGCUCGUCUUUCUCUUCCUCGGCCCAAUAAAACAAGAAAGCGUCAAAUGAGUCGUAGUAAUCAUCCGUGCUGCGAUAUCCUUCGGGAUUGAAUGCUCCAAACUUGAAUGAGUUGUUGGUGUAGCCGAUUAUUACACACGGGCCUUUGAAAUCGCUACACUCAUGAAACGAAGUCGCGCUAAAGCCGUCUGAGGUGGCCUUGUAGCAGCAUUUUAGUUCCUUCCCUGUUCAGGAUCAUGCAAAACUCAACCAUAUUCCCAAACUUAUGUAUGGUGUUCUUUUUGUACUAUAUGAUCAUUCUAAACAACUUUUAACCAUGGUUGCAGAAGUCGCUAGGCGCUCUCAGGUCGGUCGAUUGGGGAGUUGCGAGUAGUCGGCCUAGGUGCGGAGAGUACUUGGAUAUGUUAAAGAAAGUACCAUUGAGGAAAGUUUUGUUGAGUAGAGAAGAAGGAAAGGGGAGAUCAAGAUUAUGGUAAUUAGUUU
rnacentral:lncRNA from 1 species